GAUGAACGCUGGCGGCGCGCCUAACACAUGCAAGUCGAACGGACUUUAGAGAGCUUGCUCUCGAAAAGUUAGUGGCGGACGGGUGAGUAACACGUGAGCAACCUACCUUUCAGUGGGGAAUAACAUUUGGAAACAGAUGCUAAUACCGCAUAUAAUUUUGAAGUGGCAUCACUUUAAAAUGAAAGAUUUAUCGCUGAGAGAUGGGCUCGCGUCUGAUUAGAUAGUUGGUGGGGUAAUGGCCUACCAAGUCGACGAUCAGUAGCCGGACUGAGAGGUUGAUCGGCCACAUUGGGACUGAGACACGGCCCAGACUCCUACGGGAGGCAGCAGUGGGGAUAUUGCACAAUGGGGGAAACCCUGAUGCAGCGACGCCGCGUGAGUGAAGGCGGUCUUCGGAUUGUAAAGCUCUGUCGACAGGGGACGAAACAAAUGACGGUACCUGUCAAGAAAGCCACGGCUAACUACGUGCCAGCAGCCGCCGCCGUAACACC
rnacentral:rRNA from 1 species